AGAGUUUGAUCCUGGCUCAGAUUGAACGCUGGCGGAAUGCUUUACACAUGCAAGUCGAACGGCAGCACGGGAGCUUGCUCCUGGUGGCGAGUGGCGAACGGGUGAGUAACAUAUCGGAACAUAUCCUAUCGUGGGGGAUAACUAGUCGAAAGACUAGCUAAUACCGCAUACGUCCUGAGGGAGAAAGCGGGGGCUCGCAAGACCUCGCGCGAUUGGAGUGGCCGAUAUCUGAUUAGCUAGAUGGUGAGGUAAAAGCUCACCAUGGCGACGAUCAGUAGCUGGUCUGAGAGGAUGAUCAGCCACACUGGGACUGAGACACGGCCCAGACUCCUACGGGAGGCAGCAGUGGGGAAUUUUGGACAAUGGGCGAAAGCCUGAUCCAGCCUUUCCGCGUGAGUGAAGAAGGCCUUCGGG
rnacentral:rRNA from 1 species